GAUGAACGCUGGCGGCGUGCCUAAUACAUGCAAGUCGAGCGAAUGGAUUAAGAGCUUGCACUUAUGAAGUUAGUGGCGGACGGGUGAGUAACACGUGGGUAACCUGCCCAUAAGACUGGGAUAACACCGGGAAACGGGGGCUAAUACCGGAUAACAUUUUGAACCGCAUGGUUCGAAAUCGAAAGGCGGCUUCGGCUGUCACUUAUGGAUGGACCCGCGUCGCAUUAGCUAGUUGGUGAGGUAACGGCUCACCAAGGCAACGAUGCGUAGCCGACCUGAGAGGGUGAUGGGCCACACUGGGACUGAGACACGGCCCAGACUCCUGCGGGAGGCAGCAGUAGGGAAUCUUCCGCAAUGGACGAAAGUCUGACGGAGCAACGCCGCGUGAGUGAUGAAGGCUUUCGGGUCGUAAAACUCUGUUGUUAGGGAAGAACAAGUGCUAGUUGAAUAAGCUGGCACCUUGACGGUACCUAACCAGAAAGCCACGGCUAACUACGUGCCAGCCGCCGCUGUAA
rnacentral:rRNA from 1 species